CCUACGGGAGGCAGCAGUGGGGAAUAUUGGACAAUGGGCGCAAGCCUGAUCCAGCCAUGCCGCGUGAGUGAUGAAGGCCUUAGGGUUGUAAAGCUCUUUCACCGGAGAAGAUAAUGACGGUAUCCGGAGAAGAAGCCCCGGCUAACUUCGUGCCAGCAGCCGCGGUAAUACGAAGGGGGCUAGCGUUGUUCGGAAUUACUGGGCGUAAAGCGCACGUAGGCGGUUAUUUAAGUCAGGGGUGAAAUCCCAGAGCUCAACUCGGGAACUGCAUUUGAUACUGGCUGUCUAGAGUAUGGAAGAGGUAAGUAGAAUUCCGGGUGUAGCGGUGAAAUUCGUAGAUAUUCGGAGGAACACCGGUGGCGAAGGCGGCUUACUGGUCCAUUACUGACGCUGAGGUCGAAA
rnacentral:rRNA from 1 species